CUACGGGAGGCUGCAGUGGGGAAUAUUGGACAAUGGGCGAAAGCCUGAUCCAGCCAUGCCGCGUGUGUGAAGAAGGCCUUCGGGUUGUAAAGCACUUUCAGUGGGGAAGAAAGCCUUGGGGCUAAUACCCUCGAGGAAGGACAUCACCCACAGAAGAAGCACCGGCUAACUCCGUGCCAGCAGCCGCGGUAAUACGGAGGGUGCGAGCGUUAAUCGGAAUUACUGGGCGUAAAGCGCGCGUAGGCGGUCUGAUAAGCCGGUUGUGAAAGCCCCGGGCUCAACCUGGGAACGGCAUCCGGAACUGUCAGGCUAGAGUGCAGGAGAGGAAGGUAGAAUUCCCGGUGUAGCGAUGAAAUGCGUAGAGAUCGGGAGGAAUACCAGUGGCGAAGGCGGCCUUCUGGACUGACACUGACGCUGAGGUGCGAAAGCGUGGGUAGCAAACAGGAUUAGAUACCCUGGUAGUC
rnacentral:rRNA from 1 species